rnacentral:rRNA from 1 species
AUUGAACGCUGGCGGAAUGCUUUACACAUGCAAGUCGAACGGCAGCACGGACUUCGGUCUGGUGGCGAGUGGCGAACGGGUGAGUAAUGUAUCGGAACGUGCCCAGUCGUGGGGGAUAACGUAGUGAAAAUUACGCUAAUACCGCAUACGAUCUAUGGAUGAAAGCGGGGGAUCGCACGACCUCGCGCGAUUGGAGCGGCCCAUAUCAGAUUAGGUAGUUGGUGGGGUAAAGGCCCACCAAGCCAACGAUCUGUAGCUGGUCUGAGAGGACGACCUGCCACACUGGAACUGAGACACGGUCCAGACUCCUACGGGAGGCAGCAGUGGGGAAUUUUGGACAAUGGGCGAAAGCCUGAUCCAGCCAUUCCGCGUGCAGGAUGAAGGCCCUCGGGUUGUAAACUGCUUUUGUACAGAACGAAAAGGUUUCUACUAAUACUAGGAGCUCAUGACGGUACUGUAAGAAUAAGCACCGGCUAACUACGUGCCAGCCGCCGCAGUAA